rnacentral:rRNA from 1 species
CGCACAGCUCAGUAACACGUGGCUAACCUGCCCUUGGGAUGGGGAUAACCCCGGGAAACUGGGGCUAAUCCCCAGNNNNUGAAGGNNNCUGNNNNGNAUCUUCGCUGAAAAGGCACUAGAUCAUGCUUCUAGGCGUCGCCCAAGGAUGGGGCCGCGGCCGAUCAGGUUGUUGGUGAGGUAAUGGCCCACCAAGCCUUUUACCGGUGCGGGCCGUGAGAGCGGGAGCCCGGAGAUGGGCACUGAGACAAGGGCCCAGGUCCUACGGGGCGCAGCAGUCGCGAAACCUUUGCAAUACACGAAAGUGUGACAGGGUCAUCCCGAGUGCCGACCGCUGAGGUUGGCUUUUACCCAGUCUAGCAAGCUGGGGGAAUAAGGAGAGGGCAAGUCUGGUGUCAGCCGCCGCGGUAAUACCAGCUCUCCGAGUGGCGUGGACGUUUAUUGGGCCUAAAGCAUCCGUAGCUGGCUGAACAAGUCCCCUGUUAAACCCACCGAUUUAAUCGUUGGUCUGCGGGGGAUACUGUUCGGCUAGGGGGCGGGAGAGGCAGACGGUAUUUCCGGGGUAGGGGUGAAAUCCUAUAAUCCCGGGAAGACCACCAGU